GAUGAAGAACGUAGCGAAAUGCGAUAAGUAAUGUGAAUUGCAGAAUUCAGUGAAUCAUCGAAUCUUUGAACGCACAUUGCGCCCGCCAGUAUUCUGGCGGGCAUGCCUGUUCGAGCGUCAUUACAACCCUCAGGCCCCCGGACCUGGCGUUGGGGAUCGGCGGAGCCCCCCGUGGGCACACGCCGUCCCCCAAAUGCAGUGGCGGUCCCGCCGCAGCUUCCAUCGCGUAGUAGCUAACACCUCGCGACUGGAGAGCGGCGCGGCCACGCCGUAAAACACCCAACUCUUCUGAAGUUGACCUCGAAUCAGGUAGGAAUACCCGCUGAACUUAAGCAUAUCAAUAAGCGGAGGA
rnacentral:misc_RNA from 1 species